rnacentral:rRNA from 1 species
UACGGAGGGUGCGAGCGUUGUCCGGAAUCACUGGGCGUAAAGGGCGCGUAGGCGGCGCGGGAAGUCCAUGGUGAAAGCCCGAGGCUCAACUUCGGGUCGGCCAAGGAUACUCCCGGGCUCGAGCACUGUAGAGGCAGGUGGAAUUCCGGGUGUAGCGGUGGAAUGCGUAGAGAUCCGGAAGAACACCGGUGGCGAAGGCGGCCUGCUGGGCAGUAGCUGACGCUGAGGCGCGACAGCGUGGGGAGCAAACAGG